rnacentral:tRNA from 1 species
GCCGAAGUGGCGGAACUGGCAGACGCGCAUGACUCAAAAUCAUGUCUUCGCAAGAAGGUGAGGGUUCGACUCCCUCCUUCGGCA